rnacentral:rRNA from 1 species
UGAACGCUGGCGGCAGGCCUAACACAUGCAAGUCGAACGGUAACAGAAAGCAGCUUGCUGCUUUGCUGACGAGUGGCGGACGGGUGAGUAAUGUCUGGGAAACUGCCCGAUGGAGGGGGAUAACUACUGGAAACGGUAGCUAAUACCGCAUAACGUCGCAAGACCAAAGAGGGGGACCUUCGGGCCUCUUGCCAUCGGAUGUGCCCAGAUGGGAUUAGCUAGUAGGUGGGGUAAAGGCUCACCUAGGCGACGAUCCCUAGCUGGUCUGAGAGGAUGACCAGCCACACUGGAACUGAGACACGGUCCAGACUCCUACGGGAGGCAGCAGUGGGGAAUAUUGCACAAUGGGCGCAAGCCUGAUGCAGCCAUGCCGCGUGUAUGAAGAAGGCCUUCGGGUUGUAAAGUACUUUCAGCGGGGAGGAAGGGAGUAAAGUUAAUACCUUUGCUCAUUGACGUUACCCGCAGAAGAAGCACCGGCUAACUCCGUGCCAGCAGCCGCGGUAAUACGGAGGGUGCAAGCGUUAAUCGGAAUUACUGGGCGUAAAGCGCACGCAGGCGGUUUGUUAAGUCAGAUGUGAAAUCCCCGGGCUCAACCUGGGAACUGCAUCUGAUACUGGCAAGCUUGAGUCUCGUAGAGGGGGGUAGAAUUCCAGGUGUAGCGGUGAAAUGCGUAGAGAUCUGGAGGAAUUACCGGUGGCGAAGGCGGCCCCCUGGACGAAAACUGACGCUUCACGUGCGAAAGCGUGGGGAAGCAAAACAGGAUUACAUACCCCUGGUAGUCCACGCCGUAAACGAUGUCGACUUGGAGGUUGUGCCCUUGAGGCGUGGCUUCCGGAGCUAACGCGUUAAGUCGACCGCCUGGGGAGUACGGCCGCAAGGUUAAAACUCAAAUGAAUUGACGGGGGCCGGCACAAGCGGUGGAGCAUGUGGUUUAUUUCGAUGCAACGCGAAGACCUUUACCUGGUCUUGACAUCCACGGAAGUUUUCAGAGAUGAGAAUGUGCCUUUCGGGACCGGUGAGACAGGUGCGCCAUGGCUUUCGUUCAGUUCGGGUGUGAAAAUGUGGGGUUAAGUUCCCGCAACGAGCGCAACCUUAUCCUUUGUUGCCCAGCGGUCCGGCCGGGAACUCAAAGGAGACUGCCAGUGAUAAACUGGAGGAAGGUGGGGAUGACGUCAAGUCAUCAUGGCCCUUACGACCAGGGCUACACACGUGCUACAAUGGCGCAUACAAAGAGAAGCGACCUCGCGAGAGCAAGCGGACCUCAUAAAGUGCGUCGUAGUCCGGAUUGGAGUCUGCAACCCGACUCCAUGAAGUCGGAAUCGCUAGUAAUCGUGGAUCAGAAUGCCACGGUGAAUACGUUCCCGGGCCUUGUACACACCGCCCGUCACACCAUGGGAGUGGGUUGCAAAAGAAGUAGGUAGCUUAACCUUCGGGAGGGCGCUUACCACUUUGUGAUUCAUGACUGGGGUGAA